UACAGAGACUGCAAGCGUUAUUCGGAUUCACUGGGCGUAAAGGGUGCGCAGGCGGCCGAGUGUGUGAGGCGUGAAAGCCCGGGGCUUAACCCCGGAAUUGCACCUCAAACUACACGGCUAGAGCAUUGGAGAGGGUAGCAGAAUUCAUGGUGUCGCAGUGAAAUGCGUAGAUAUCAUGAGGAAUACCAGAGGCGAAGGCGGCUACCUGGGAUAACACUGACGCUCAUGCACGAAAGCGUGGGGAGCAAACAGG
rnacentral:rRNA from 1 species